GAAGAGCAGAGCCCCUUUUGGGGGAGACAGAGUGCCGGGAGUAGGCAGCUGAUGCUGAUGGACCAGAGGAUGUUUAUAAGAAGUUUCCAGGCUUGCUGGGCCCGCUGGCCGUACUGGAGGCUGGGGUGGUGGCGGUGGUGCUUCCCAGUGGCUGGCUCCCCGGUACCCCACGCCGCGGCGGCGCUGGCGCACCUCUCCCGGCCUGAGCCAGGGCUGCUACAUAGGAGGGCACCGGCGAGGCGGGAGGCAAGAAGAACGUGGGGACCGAGGCCGGGCUGCCGCCCCAAUAUGGCUCAUGGACAGCAGAAGACAACAUAAAAAAAAAAAAAGUUUCCAGGCUUGCCUUCUGUGCCCUCAAGCCACAGGUAGCUGACGCCAGAAACAAUCUUUGCGGGGAGGCACAUUUGACAUUGUUGGCUCUGCACUUUACAGCCCUAAAAUAGGAUUUGAUCCAGUGAAGUGACUGCAUCAGACAAAAGGACCUCUUAUCAGAGGUACCUGUUAAAUGCUCCAGAUCCACCAGAACAUCUGCUGAGCACUUAGGUUCUUAACAAGAUUCGGAAGAAAUGGUGCAAGUAAUUCUGCAUGGAUUUGAUUGGACUUGAAAAUUACAGACUCAGAGUUGCACCAAAGAUGACUGGAAACCAAUUUAAAUAAUUUGGAGGAAUGCCUGAAGACAAUGAAAUGUGGAGAUGCUUCUAGAACUGCAGAGGAGUUGGAGUAAAGCAGUAAUCCAAACAGAGAGCUAUCCCUACGCUUUUGGAGCUUACAAUGCAGUGGAGAAAGACUGUAAACAAAGGAGAGAAACACAGUGUGUAGGUAAAUCCUACGGAGAAAAAUAAAGCUGGAAUGGUGAGGAACGAAGGCUUGGGGUGGGGAAUCCAUUUUAAAUAGGAUGGUCAGAGAAGGCUUUUCCAAGAAAGAGUAUUUCAGCAAGAACUUCAGGAUGUGAGGGGGCAAGCAUUCUAUAGGAAUGGUCCAGACAGAGGGAAUAGCAGUUACAAAGUCUGUGACCAUGGAGCCUUUCUGAAUAUAAGCUCCUUCUGGCUAAAACAUGCUGGUAGGCCAGCAAGACUGUGAGCAGGAAGAUCUGUUCAGAAAUUUUCCAAAUGAUAGUCACUUGGACUAGGGUGUUCACAAAUAAAUGUGGGAGGACGUGUUGGAUUCUGGGUAUAUUUUCAAGGAGUGCUAACCAGAUUUGCUGAUAGAUGGGGUGUAGAACGUGAGAGAAACAGAGGAGUUAAGGAUAAGGCUAAGCCAUGGGUCUGAACUCACAGGAUGAAUUGCCUGUGGUUAUACUAGGAAGGGCUCCGGGAAGAUCAGGACGGCAGUUUGGUCCUUGCUAGGUUUGAGCUGCCUCUGAGGCAUCCAUGCAGCGAGGCCCAGGGGCAAUGACAGGUGCGAGUCUGGAGGUCCUCCAGAUGGAGGCUGGGGCUGUAGGUAUGAGCGGAGUCUAAAUCUGCUGUGCUGGAGGAGAUCUCCCACAGAGGGGUGUAGACGAAAAAAGUUCCAGUCAGAGGAAGGCUGUGAAUUGACUAUUGUACUUGGCAACCUGGAGGUCGCUGGGGACGUUGACAAAGCUGGUGGGGGUGGAGAGCCUGAUUGCGGUGGAUCCAAAAGAGAAUCGGUGGAAAGAAAUUAGAAACGGCGAGUCCGUAUAAUUACUUUUGCUAGUUUAUUGUAAAGGGUAUGGAGAGAAAUAGGGCGGUAGUUGGAAGGGGACACAGAGUAAAGGAAGUUAUUUAAUGUUUUUUUAAUGCGGGAGAAAUAGCAUCACAUUUGUGAAUAAUUUAGUAGCAAGAGAAGUGAUGAUGCCGAAGAGAAGAAUUGUCAGGCUCCCUUUGUGAGCAGGUGAAGGGGGCAGGGAUGGAGGGCGCAAGCCCAGAGGCUGCCUCUCGGCUAGGAGUCAGAGCUGCCGCUUGGAGAGCCCGCAGCUGAGACUAUCUGUGUGCGCUUGGAUUCUGGGCGGUGUACGCAGCUGUCCCAAUGAGACAAGGUGGCUUCUGAUUGCUUCUGUUAAAUUAAGGAAGUGCUGGAGAAGAGUGCAGAAAGCGCAAAGUUGGCUAAAUCCGCAGACACAUAUCCAUGAGCCAGGGUUGGAUGGAUCUGGUCUGAGAGGCUGUGAAAGCGGUGGAUGGGGUUGGUCCACGUUGGUCUCUUUUGGCAUCCAACAGCACCUGAGCCAUUGCGGUCCAGGAUCCUGUCAUCUAUGUGGGCCCCUGUGUCCUAGGUACCCAGCUCUCGUUACUCCAGAUCCUCAUAUUCCAGGGUUGUGAGAAAAAUCCUGGGGAGGGAGAGAAGGCUGUUACCUGGAAAGUGCUUGUGUAAAUAAUGGGCUUGUGAAGUUGUUUGUUGUUAUUGUGGUUAUUGUUGUUUUUUAUUUUACUCUUUGCCCUAGAGUCUGUGAUACACAUUUACAACUAAUCUACAUCCACUUCCAAGUAAUAUUACACUCCUUCACAGGUGCUAGAGAUUUUCAAAUUCCUCCCUCACAUCCCUUCUAAUUCAUUUCACUUAUCUGUAAGUUACAAUCACCCACUGUGUCUUUGCUCUUAUUAUUUUGAGCAAACUGCUAUCUGUUAGAUCAACUAAGAAUAAGAAAAAUAGAAAGCUUUCUUUACCUUCAUUUAUUCCUUUUUUAAUGCUUUUACUAUCUCUGUGUGGAUCCAUGUUUCCCACCUCUGUCAUUUUCCUUUCUUCUGAAGAAUUUCAUUUCAAAUUGAACACGUUUACUGGUGACAGAUUCCCUCGGUUUUUGUCUGAGCAAGUAAUUCUCCUUCACUAUUGAAACAUGAUUUCACUUCAGGAUACAGAGUUCUAGCUUGGUGUUUUUCUUUCAACACGUAAACAUUUCAUUCCUCUCGUUUGCAUGGUUUAUGAGGAGAAGUUCUAUGUAAUUCUUAUGGCUGUUGCUCUGUAGGCUAGUGUCCCCCCCCUUCCCCCACCUCCCUAGUUCUUCCCAAAUUUUCUCUUUGCCUUUGAUUUUCUACAUUUUUUUAUAUGAAAUAUGCAGGUGUAAUUUUUUUUUUUUUUGCAUUUAUUGUGUUGAGUGUUUUCUGAACACUUAGAUCUGUGGUUUGAUUUCUGUCACUAGUUAUGGAAAAUUCUUGGCCAUGAUAUCUUCAAAUAUUUCUUCUUUCUUUGCUUCUGGUGUUCCUAUUACACAUAUGUUACACCUUUUAUAAUUGUCCCAUAGUAUUGGAUAUUCUGUUCUCUUUUCUCAUUUUUUUUUUAUUCUGCGACUUUUCUGUUGAUUUAUCCAGGCUCACGGAGCUUUUCUUGGCUGCAUCUACUCUACUGAUGAGCCCCGCAGAGACCCUACUCAUUUCUGUUACAGUGUUUUUGAUUUCUAGCAUCUCCUUUCAGUUCUUCCUUACAAGUUUCUAUCUCUCAGCUUGCAUUACCCUUCUGUUCUUAAGUGUUACCUAUUUUUUCCAUUAGAGUUCCUAGCAUAUUAAUCAUAGUCAUUUUAAAUUCCCAAUCUGGUAAUCCCAAAAUAUCUACCAUACAUGAUUCUCAUUCUAAUGCUUGGUUUGCAUCUUCAGACUGUUUUUUUUUUUUUUUUUUAACUCUAAGUAUUUUUGGCUUUUUAGAAUGCCUUGUAAUUUUUUUUUUUGAAAGCUGAACAUGCUAUAUUGAGUAAAAGGAAAUGAGGUAAAUAUGUUAUUAGUAUGAUGUUUAUAUUUAUCUGGCUGGAAGUUAGGCUGUUUGCUUACUAUGUGCUAUAGUUUUAGGUGUCAGAGGCUCAAAUUUCCUCUAGCAUUCUUGUUUGGGUUUGCAAAUUGUUUUUGAGUUUCCUUACAGACUUUCUGGAACAAAACCUGAGCCUUGCAGUUCUUCUCAGCUGUCAUCUCAUACUAUUAUAGAGGAGCCCUGUUGGUGUGUGGUAAAGUGUGUUGGGGGGAACAGAGGGAGAAGAAGCCUUCUAGUUUUUUAUGAGAAAUUCUCAGUAUUUGAUGGUCCUGUGUCACUGUAUUAUAUGACCUUUACAAGUGCAUUUCAGCUCCUUCCUUUUUCCCCUUAGGUGACACAGGAAGACUAGAGGUGGCCAAAUUUGGGUAUUCCCCUUCCUCCUUGUUGGUUAGGCUUGGGUGAAUCUCAUGUUGGUUGAGAUCAGCUACAAGAGUUUCCCUUGAGGGCAGACCUUUGUUCAUAAGAACCAAAAGCUCUGGGGGCAUUUUGAAAUGAUUAUUUCCUUUCUCCUGCCUAAAGCAUGAGGAGAUAUUUCUCUGAUUUUUCACCCUGAUAACCUGCUGGGGGGUUCCUGGCAUUAAAAUUCAUGAAGGUGUUUGCUCCCCACCCCAUUCCCCAAAUG